ACAGAGGGUGCAAGCGUUAAUCGGAAUUACUGGGCGUAAAGCGUGCGCAGACGGUUAUGUAAGUCGGAUGUGAAAUCCCCGGGCUCAACCUGGGAAUUGCAUUCGAAACUGCAUGGCUAGGGUACGGAAGAGGGAAGCGGAAUUUCUGGUGUAGCGGUGAAAUGCGUAGAUAUCAGAAGGAACAUCAGUGGCGAAAGCGGCUUCCUGGUCCAGUACCGACGUUCAGGCACGAAAGCGUGGGGAGCAAACAGGAUUAGAUACCCUGGUAGUCCACGCCAUAAACGAUGAGAACUAGACGUUGAGAGGGUCAGCCUCCCAGUGUCGUAGCUAACGCGCUAAGUUCUCCGCCUGGGGAGUACGGCCGCAAGGUUG
rnacentral:rRNA from 1 species